rnacentral:tRNA from 6 species
GCCCCGGUAGCCCAGCGGUAGAGGCCAUGGAUUCAAAACCCAUACAGCGUCGGUUCGAAUCCGACUCGGGGCAC